ACUCCUUCCGUUUUGGCUUUGCAGAGAGCUCGUGUGUCCUUGGUGUGCUGCCCAAGCCUUCAACAGCAGCAGCUGCACACAGAGGGGAUGAACAGUGCCAUCAUCUAAAGACAUCGUGAGCCAGUAGAGGUGACUGAGAUUUGCAGCCCAACUAGACUUGACAUGAAUUGGUAAGAAAGAACCUCCAAAAUCUGCUGCUACGGGAGAAACAACAUGUUGCUGUAUCCAAAAUAUCCAGAGGGCUAUUAUGCAAAGAGAUUACUCAUCACUGGAGCAAAGUCUUAAUUUCAAGUUCCCAGCACUGAUUUAUGUCUGGGCCACAGCACCUUCUAUCCCUAUGCAUAUUCCCUUGUGCAAUAAGAAAAGGCUUUUGCCUCUCCUGCAAAUUCUGUUGGCUUCGACUUGAUCUGAUUUGACCUGUGAUGAAUAUGUGCGUGUCUGUGGACUGCAACAGCAGAGAGCUGCUCUGAGGGUGGUCCUGUAAUACCUGCCCAGGCGGGUGACCCGCAAGAAAUCGAGCCUUGACUCAAGAACUGAACUAUACACUCGUCUUUCAGCUGUGACGGUAGUUGGCCAAACUCAUGACAACGUUGCUAUUGUUGGAUGGGAGUAAAUUAAACACAAUCUGAAUUCCUGCAUAAAGGGAGAUGAUCCAGGAGUGCUCUCUGUCACAAACAGUGUGAACUUUCAAAUAUUAGCUGACAGUGCUAAUAUUUCUGGAACAUGCAACAAAAACUGAGCUAUGGCCCAUCACACUGUGCCAGAGGUGACACAGCCUAAGGAAAGAUGGGGUGAAGAGGUCCUGGUGACGAGCAGAGCAACAAAACGGAAGCGGUAGUGAAAACACCAUUCAGGGCUCCACAGCAUGCGUGAAACUAAUGCUGCCUGUAUUUCAAAGGCCAGCUUCAGAGAGGCAAGAAUUUAACUCGGCCCCAGCAAGAGGGAGUGCCACGAUUCUGAACCAAGUUCCCUUGGUGUGAGGCUGAAGCUGCUCUCAGAAAUGCUCACCAAGCAGGGACAAACUUUCCAAAGUCUGGCAUUUCUCCAAAAUGAACUGAAGUCCUGGGCAAUCCCAGUGUCUGCAAAACACAGAUGAAUGAAUGAACCCCUGUGGAGAGACCAAGGAGUGCUGACUGCUCUUAACUCGUCAUAGGAGGAGAAGGAGAGAGAGGAGAGGACUGAGUCAUACCUGGAAACUCGUUCGACUUUGGUGGCAGCUGCAAGUAGCACUGCCAGCUGUUGCAGAGAAGAUAAAGCAGCAAGCAAGAUAUCGGAAUUACAAAAACAAUAAUAAAGCCAGGUCCUCAGCAAUGAAGAGACAUUGCAGUGCAGCAUUUCUCUGGAUUACUCUGCCACCCAUGUCGAACCAGAACAUCCAGGAUAUAAAUCUUCCAUAAUUUUUUAGCCUCAUUUCAGCCAGUUUGUGUUAUCUGAAGUACAUUCAGCAGCAAAUUGCACUGAAAGCUGUUCUUUUGGAUUUUCUAUUUGUGCAAUGCAAGGCGAUUUGAAUUUGAAUUUACAUCAAUGAUUUGUCAGGUUUGCCACAGGUAAUUACAUGCAGACUUAUAAUGUCUUCCUCCAGAACACAUCUACAGACGAUCUGCAAACAAAAUUGAAGUUUGCUUCCUACAGCCAUUGGCGAACUUCAUUUAGCCAAGCAGGAGUUCAAGGUGUGCCAUGGGGCUCAGAGGGAGGAAAAGUGGAAGAAAUCCUUCCAGGAACAAAAGAGCAAGCAACAGGACUUCAUUCACUGAGUUCCCUGAAUCCAGCAUGCAUCUGAUGAUUGAGUUCUGUAGCAGCACAUAUAAAGGAUAUCAAAAUGAAUAUUUUUCCAGGAAAAUCUCCAUGCCAGCAGUAUGGAACUUGAAGCUUCAACUCUAAAGGUCGUCUCGUUUUAUCAAGAUAUCAUUUCAUGCCAUCUUUUUUAAUAUUCCCAGUGAUACUAACACCAUGUACUGGCUGAUCCUUCUUCAGAAACAGUAAAGGAAAUUUAUGGAUAUGGAGUAUGCUUUGCUGCCGAACAAGAUCGAAACAGGCGUCUCUGACUGACAUGACUGCAACUUGUCACUAGCUUUCAUUUACAGCAGAGGAUGAAAACUAAGACAGUGACAAGUGAAGACCAUCCUUCGUUCUGUUGUUUUCCUUACACUCAGCACAGGAGCUGCUAAUCCUAUUUUCCAUCAUACCGGCAGAGACAGAAUGUUUUUCUGUUGGCCUUGGGUAAGACAACCACAGACAGCUGAUGAGGAUAUUCAGUUUUUCAAGCGAUUUGGCACCUGCUGAAAACCAAACGUGGGAUCUUUUGGUGCUUCUGAGAUAUCAGGUACCAGGUGACACCACCGGAUACUCACUGAAAGAAGCUGAUGCCUUAGAAAUCCUGAGGGACUAUCUUGCAUUUCUAGACCACUGCACGCUUGCUUAGCUCACCGGCAAACCUCUUCCAGUCAUUUACUGUAUUGACUAUACUGCUAAAAGUAAUAGAAUAAUAUCAUUCCCUCCUCAUUAGUCUCUCAAGGAGGUUAGGAUAUAAUUCUGUCCUUUUAAACAUUGCUUUAAUCCUAACAAAGUCAAGAUAAGGUCGGAUGUUUCACCUUUACUGAAGUUCUGAGCCCUCUUAUGUCUGUGUGCAUGCAAACCUACGAGAAAAACAUUUCAGCCCUUUCCACAGCAAUGAUCAAAGAAAAUCACAAAUACAAUGGACUUCAAAGAAAAGGGCAAUGGCCCAGACCUGGCUCUGAGGCACUGCGCACAACAUUGGUGAGAUCUGAACUAAAUUGCUUAAAAACACUUCCCAGCUUGCAGCAUCGGUUACUUAAGGGAGCACAGACACAGGGUCUGUGUACCUGCUGCUUGCCAGGCAUGGCGAGGGACCUGGCUCCAAAGUCAGUCCUGCAGCUACGCUCACCUCUGGCCAAGGAAGUUUCAGGCCUUUGAAAAUUUUAAACAAUCUGUGUGCUGCAAAGCUCUGACUUCUCAGGUCUGAAAUAAAGGGUCAAUGG